rnacentral:rRNA from 1 species
AUUGAACGCUGGCGGCAGGCCUAACACAUGCAAGUCGAGCGAGCGGCGGACGGGUGAGUACUGUCUGGGAAACUGCCUGAUAGAGGGGGAUAACUACUGGAAACGGUAGCUAAUACCGCAUACCAUCAGAUGUGCCCAGAUGGGAUUAGCUAGUAGGUGGGUUAACGGCUCACCUAGGCGACGAUCCCUAGCCGGUCUGAGAGGAUGACCAGCCACACUGGAGCUGAGACACGGUCCAGACUCCUACGGGAGGCAGAAGUGGGGAAUAUUGCACAAUGGGCGCAAGCCUGAUGCAGCCAUGCCGCGUGUGGGAAGAGGGCCUUCGGAUUGUAAAGCACUUUCAGCGGGGAGGCGGUACCCACAGAAGAAGCACCGGCUAACUCCGUGCCAGCAGCCGCGGUAAUAC